rnacentral:lncRNA from 1 species
ACUCCUGUGAUGGAGAACCUGUUGACUGACUGAGCUGGCUUGGUCAGGUUUGGAGUACUGAUGUGUAUAGUCUAAAUCAAGUUCAAUUAUAAAGAAAUUUUCUUUCAGUCAAUAUGAACAUUUGGGCAUUAAGAAUGAAAUUACUGACCCGAAGUUUCUAACAUGUAUGACAUGUUUGACAACACAAACAUUGAAGAAAAUCUUAAAGAUAUCUACACACUUUAUCUUCAAGGAUGCACAAGGGUCCACACGCAUGUUGCAAGCUUCUUUUUUGUAGCCUGGCCAUGCCUCAUUGACAUAAUCUUCUGUAUAAUUUGACUGUGGCUUCUGGGCUCUUAGAUCUAUCCUUUCAACAGUCUUUCAUUUUCUUCCAAAAGUGGGUGGCUUGUGCUUAUACCCAUCUCUAAGUAUAUUUAAGUCUACUUUGUACUCACUCCAAAUGGACAAAGACCUGCUUUGUUUCUGUACCCUCUCUGUGUUCUGUAGCCUAGUGAGUUGGUCUUUCCAAUGAUUCAAUUACAUUGAGCACCUUUUUAUAGUUCUUUGAGUUGUAUUUAUGUAUUUAUGGUCUUAUUACUAGUCAAAGAUCUACCUCUCCAAUCUGUGAAGUGAACCGUUCUCUACUUUAGAUUCCCUGGGAGUAUAUGGGAAGAAACAAGGUUAAAUUUUUAGAAACCAUAGCACUUAAUUUAGAGUAGUAAGGCACAAACAUCCUUAAACUUCUUGGUGAGUAUUUUGACUUUGAAAAGAUCUGAGCAAUAAGCUAAUAGUUUGUGAAGUCUUAACAAAGGGCUUAGCAGCCACACUUUCUUGGGCCUAUUUUUUACUGACAGUGCCUGAAAUUUAAUCUUUGCCUGGAAGUUAUUUCUGAUUUAGAAAAUUGUUUUCUAUUUGGAAAAUCUGGGAAGGAAGAGCAGUUUUAUUUUUGAAAUAUGCUAAUUUGAGUUCCUUUAUAUUUAACCAUCUGUUCAUUAACUAAUCUCUCUUCUCAUUUUAUUACAACCAACUAGAAGAAUCCAGGUGGCAUCUCCAGUACUUUGCCUAAAUAUCUUUUCUACUAGAUGUCUACUUCAUUGAACAUAUUUUCUAUUCUACUGCAGACAACAAUGUUAAGCCUUCUGCCAGGACACACCAGCAUUUUUUUUAAUUCUAAAUUCCUAUAAUCUUUUUUCAGAUUUUCAGAACCCACAAAAGGCUUUGCCAGUUCUCUUCAGAAUUCCAGCAGCUCUAAAGGUCUUUUAAACCUGUUCGAACUAAUAAUAGGUCUGAAAGCCAGUGACACAUAUUUAUAGUUGGGAAGCAUAGACUCCACCUUUAGUGUCCCAGCCUGUUGCAGAAAUCUGUUACUGUGUAUCAGGACCUCUGCAAUAAAACCAUGGCUGUCAUUACUAACUCUCCU